GACGAACGCUGGCGGCGUGCUUAACACAUGCAAGUCGAACGGAAAGGCCCUGCUUUUGUUGGGUGCUCGAGUGGCGAACGGGUGAGUAACACGUGAGUAACCUGCCCUUGACUUUGGGAUAACUUCAUGAAACUGGGGCUAAUACCGGAUAGGAGCUCCUGCUCCAUGGUGGGGGUUGGGAAUAUUCGGCGGUUUGGGAUGGACUCGCGGCGUAUCAGCUUGUUAGGUGGGUAGUUGCUUACCAAGGGUUUGACGGAUAGCCGGCCUGAGAGGGUGACCGGCGACAUUGGGACUGAGGUACGGCCCAGACUCCUACGGGAGGCAGCGGUGGGGAAUAUUGCGCAAUGGGCGGAAGCCUGAUGCAGCAGCGCCGCGUGCGGGAUGACGGCCUUCGGGUUGUAAACAGCUUUCGCCUGUGACGAAGCGUGAGUGACGGUAAUGGGUAAAAAAGCACCGGCUAACUACGUG
rnacentral:rRNA from 1 species